rnacentral:rRNA from 1 species
CACGAACGCUGGCGGCAGGCCUAACACAUGCAAGUCGAGCGGAUCCUUCGGGAUUAGCGGCGGACGGGUGAGUAACGCGUGGGAAUAUGCCCUUCUCUACGGAAUAGCCUCGGGAAACUGGGAGUAAUACCGUAUACGCCCUGCGGGGGAAAGAUUUAUCGGAGAAGGAUUAGCCCGCGUUGGAUUAGGUAGUUGGUGGGGUAAUGGCCUACCAAGCCUACGAUCCAUAGCUGGUUUGAGAGGAUGAUCAGCCACACUGGGACUGAGACACGGCCCAGACUCCUACGGGAGGCAGCAGUGGGGAAUCUUAGACAAUGGGGGAAACCCUGAUCUAGCCAUGCCGCGUGAGUGAUGAAGGCCUUAGGGUUGUAAAGCUCUUUCAGCUGGGAAGAUAAUGACGGUACCAGCAGAAGAAGCCCCGGCUAACUCCGUGCCAGCCGCCGCCGCAGUAA